AGAGUUUGAUCAUGGCUCAGGACGAACGCUGGCGGCGCGCUUAACACAUGCAAGUCGAGCGAGAACCAGGCCUUCGGGCUUGGGGAAAGCGGCGAACGGGUGAGUAACACGUGGGUAACCCACCCUUGGUACUGGGAUAGCCCGGGGAAACCCGGAUUAAUACCGGAUGGCCCAGCAGCUCUUCGGGGCGGUUGGAAAAGGUAGCUUCGGCCUCCGACCAAGGACGGGCCCGCGGCGGAUUAGCUUGUUGGUGGGGUAACGGCCCACCAAGGCGACGAUCCGUAGCUGGUCUGAGAGGACGAUCAGCCACACUGGGACUGAGACACGGCCCAGACUCCUACGGGAGGCAGCAGUGGGGAAUCUUGCGCAAUGGGCGAAAGCCUGACGCAGCGACGCCGCGUGGGGGAAGAAGGCUUUCGGGUUGUAAACCCCUUUCAGGAGGGACGAAGCCACUCGGGUGAAUAGCCCAGAGGGUGACGGUACCUCCAGAAGAAGCCCCGGCUAACUACGUGCCAGCAGCCGCGGUAAUACGUAGGGGGCAAGCGUUGUCCGGAUUUAUUGGGCGUAAAGAGCGUGUAGGCGGUUUGGUAGGUCCGCUGUGAAAACUCGAGGCUCAACCUCGAGACGCCGGUGGAAACCAUCAGGCUAGAGUCCGGAAGAGGAGAGUGGAAUUCCUGGUGUAGCGGUGAAAUGCGCAGAUAUCAGGAAGAACACCCGUGGCUAAGGCGGCUCUCUAGUACGGUACUGACGCUGAGACGCGAAAGCGUGGGGAGCGAACAGGAUUAGAUACCCCCGUAGUCC
rnacentral:rRNA from 1 species